rnacentral:rRNA from 1 species
AUUGAACGCUGGCGGCAUGCUUUACACAUGCAAGUCGAACGGUAAUAGGCUGCGAGGUGCUGACGAGUGGCGAACGGGUGAGUAAUGCAUCGGAACGUGCCCAGUCGUGGGGGAUAACUACUCGUAAGAGUAGCUAAUACCGCAUACGAUCUAUGGCGGAAAGCGGGGGACCGUAAGGGCUCGUGCGAUUGGAGGGGCCGAUGUCAGAUUAGGUAGUUGGUGGGGUAAAGGCGCACCAAGCCAACGAUCUGUAGCUGGUCUGAGAGGACGACCAGCCACACUGGGACUGAGACACGGCCCAGACUCCUACGGGAGGCAGCAGUGGGGAAUUUUGGACAAUGGGCGCAAGCCUGAUCCAGCAAUGCCGCGUGCAGGAAGAAGGCCUUCGGGUUGUAAACUGCUUUUGUACGGAACGAAACGGCUCUGGUUAAUACCCGGCGCUAAUGACGGUACCGUAAGAAUAAGCACCGGCUAACUACGUG